rnacentral:rRNA from 1 species
AUUGAACGCUGGCGGCAGGCCUAACACAUGCAAGUCGAACGAGUGGCGGACGGGUGAGUAAUGUCUGGGAAACUGCCCGAUGGAGGGGGAUAACUACUGGAAACGGUAGCUAAUACCGCAUACCAUCGGAUGUGCCCAGAUGGGUUUAGCUAGUAGGUGGGGUAACGGUUCACCUAGGCGACGAUCCCUAGCUGGUAUGAGAGGAUGACCGUCCACACUGGAACUGAGACACGGUCCAGACUCCUACGGGAGGGAGCAGUGGGGAAUAUUGCACAAUGGGCGCAAGCCUUAUGCAGCCAUGCCGCGUGUAUGAAGAAGGCCUUCGGGUUGUAAAGUACUUUCAGCGGGGAGGCGUUACCCGCAGAGGAAGCACCGGCUAACUCCGUACCAGCAGCCGAGGUAAUUC